rnacentral:rRNA from 1 species
GGACGGGUGAGUAAUGUCUGGGAAACUGCCCGAUGGAGGGGGGUAACUACUGGAAACGGUAGCUAAUACCGCAUAACGUCGCAAGACCAAAGAGGGGGACCUUCGGGCCUCUUGCCAUCGGAUGUGCCCAGAUGGGAUUAGCUAGUAGGUGGGGUAACGGCUCACCUAGGCGACGAUCCCUAGCUGGUCUGAGAGGAUGACCAGCCACACUGGAACUGAGACACGGUCCAG